GGAGGGGUGGCCGAGCGGCUUAAGGCAGCGGUCUUGAAAACCGCCGACGGGAAACCGUCCGAGAGUUCGAAUCUCUCCUCCUCCGCCA
rnacentral:tRNA from 11 species